GGGGGGGGGGGGGGGGGGGGGGGGGGGGGGGGGGGCGGGGGGGGGGGGGGGGGGGGGGUGGGGGGGGCGGGGGGGGAAGGGGUGGGUGGGAGGUGGGUAGCCGGCCCGUGACUUGGGGAGAGGUUGGGGGAACUGGGGGUAAGACCGGAGGGGAGCUCCUGCGGCGUGGGGGGGGGUGGAGAGGUUCGGCGGUUGGGGAUGGACUCGCGGCUUAUCGGCUUGUUGGUGGGGUGGUGGCUGACCAAGGCUUUGACGGGUAGCCGGCCUGAGAGGGUGACCGGCCACAUUGGGACCGAGAUACGGCCCAGACUCCUACGGGAGGCAGCAGUGGGGAAUAUUGCACAAUGGGCGGAAGCCUGAUGCAGCAACGCCGCGUGCGGGAUGACGGCCUUCGGGUUGUAAACCGCUUUCGCCUGUGACGAAGCGUGAGUGACGGUAAUGGGUAAAGAAGCACCGGCUAACUACGUG
rnacentral:rRNA from 1 species